GACGAACGCUGGCGGCGUGCUUAACACAUGCAAGUCGAACGGAAAGGCCCUGCUUUUGUGGGGUGCUCGAGUGGCGAACGGGUGAGUAACACGUGAGUAACCUGCCCUUGACUUUGGGAUAACUUCAGGAAACUGGGGCUAAUACCGGAUAGGAGCUCCUGCUGCAUGGUGGGGGUUGGAAAGUUUCGGCGGUUGGGGAUGGACUCGCGGCUUAUCAGCUUGUUGGUGGGGUAGUGGCUUACCAAGGCUUUGACGGGUAGCCGGCCUGAGAGGGUGACCGGCCACAUUGGGACUGAGAUACGGCCCAGACUCCUGGAGGCAGCAGUGGGGAAUAUUGCACAAUGGGCGGAAGCCUGAUGCAGCAACGCCGCGUGCGGGAUGACGGCCUUCGGGUUGUAAACCGCUUUCGCCUGUGACGAAGCGUGAGUGACGGUAAUGGGUAAAGAAGCACCGGCUAACUACGUG
rnacentral:rRNA from 1 species